GACGAACGCUGGCGGCGUGCUUAACACAUGCAAGUCGAACGGUAAGGCCCUUCGGGGUACACGAGUGGCGAACGGGUGAGUAACACGUGGGUGAUCUGCCCUGCACUUCGGGAUAAGCCUGGGAAACUGGGUCUAAUACCGGAUAGGACUCCGGACUGCAUGGUCUGGGGUGGAAAGCUUUUGCGGUGUGGGAUGGGCCCGCGACCUAUCAGCUUGUUGGUGGGGUGAUGGCCUACCAAGGCGACGACGGGUAGCCGGCCUUAGAGGGUGACCGGCCACACUGGGACUGAGAUCCGGCCCAGACUCCUACGGGAGGCAGCAGUGGGGAAUAUUGCACAAUGGGCGCAAGCCUGAUGCAGCGACGCCGCGUGAGGGAUGACGGCCUUCGGGUUGUAAACCUCUUUCAGCAUCGACGAAGCGAAAGUGACGGUAGGUGCAGAAGAAGGACCGGCCAACUACGUGCCAGCCGCCGCCGUAA
rnacentral:rRNA from 1 species